rnacentral:SRP_RNA from 1 species
CAUCGGCUCCUUCCGCGACGACCAGUCGUGAACCCCGUCAGGCCCGGAAGGGAGCAGCGGUAGCGAUGAUGUCGGGUGCCGGAGUCCGGCUGGUGCGG